GACGAACGCUGGCGGCGUGCCUAAUACAUGCAAGUCGAACGCUUUUUCUUUCACCGGAGCUUGCUCCACCGAAAGAAAAAGAGUGGCGAACGGGUGAGUAACACGUGGGUAACCUGCCCAUCAGAAGGGGAUAACACUUGGAAACAGGUGCUAAUACCGUAUAACACUAUUUUCCGCAUGGAAGAAAGUUGAAAGGCGCUUUUGCGUCACUGAUGGAUGGACCCGCGGUGCAUUAGCUAGUUGGUGAGGUAACGGCUCACCAAGGCAACGAUGCAUAGCCGACCUGAGAGGGUGAUCGGCCACACUGGGACUGAGACAUGGCCCAGACUCCUACGGGAGGCAGCAGUAGGGAAUCUUCGGCAAUGGACGAAAGUCUGACCGAGCAAUGCCGCGUGAGUGAAGAAGGUUUUCGGAUCGUAAAACUCUGUUGUUAGAGAAGAACAAGGAUGAGAGUAAAACGUUCAUCCCUUGACGGUAUCUACCA
rnacentral:rRNA from 1 species